CACUCUGGUAAUUGCCUCCUGAAUAGUAACAGCUUAAACUGACAGCAAUCUCAGGGCUACUACAAACAAGAGGAUAAAACUAGAACCACGAUUAGGGACACGGUGUCCUUGGGCAAAUGACUGAACUCCUUUCUCCUUGAUGUCCUCAUCCAUGAGAUGGAGACACUAACAGUGCUUACCUCACAGGACUGUUGUGACAAUUAGGAACUCUUGGGACCGGUCGCAAGCAGAUGCUGUCAUUGCACCAAGCCUACUUCCUCGGCCUCUCCCGCGACACACAUCCUGUGCCUCUGUCUCUCUGCUCUGGGGGACUUUGCUGCCUGCAGGACUUCUUGGAAUUAAUGCCCUAGGAAUGACCCUAAAUCAAGGAUGGGCGAGAGAGAGAGUUUCUGCACCUCUCGUGGAAAUCACGUUCCACAGUCUCUCUCUAGGGUCCCUAGAGAUUUUUAGCUCCAGUUUCUCUACAAAAGUCUCUCCGGUGGCCACCUGCUCAUAAAUGCUCCCUUUACCAACUUUCCUUCCUUCCGCGUCUGACUAUUCCACUCGUCUACUGUGCUGCUUGAGGUCCCCUCUCGGAUAAAGUACCUGUACCUACAUCCUUGAGCAAGGGUCUCGUUUUCAGGGGAUACAUUAAGGCAGAUUUCCGCCUUCCAUGAAUAGCAGGCAGGGCUUCAAGAGGCCUCACUGGGGAACAGCUCCAUUAGAUGUCGCCAAGGAGGACAAGGGGGAAGAACGGGUUUCCCAGAAGAUGGACUUGGGGGCUGUGGAGAUCAACUGACAAAGAAGUCCUCCCAGUGAAGAGAA